CAAAGAAUCAUUCGUUAGGGCGAGGGUUGUUGAAAAUAUGCAUAGCUUUAUAUACUUAAUAGGAUACACCUUUUCUCGCAAAAUAGAAAGAAGCAGAAUUUUUUGGAUUUAAAUCUCGAUCAUAGCAAUUUUGCUUUUCAUUUGCUCUUACUAUUUUAUUGGCUGCAAUGAAUAAAGAUUGGGAAGAUUAAAAAAAAAAUUAUGACACUAUCAUACCGCAGUCAAACACACCCCUGAAAUACUGUACGUUUUAAAUAUCCCACGGAGAUUUUGCGAUGGUAAUCAAACGGAAAGCGAUUUCCGACCCAUGUAAUUGUUUAAUAGAUUACCAUUUGGGGAAAAAGAGAAGCAGAAAUUGUGCACAAUUCAUGACUGCAACCGGUGGCAAGUGAAGUGUGUCUCAAGCGAAUGCUACAACAUAUGGAAUUAGAUUGCACCGUUGGAUCUGGUACAAGCGAUAAGCUCUUGCGGAGGGAUAACGACUUCACCGGACCCAGGCAAGAAACUUGGCAAUGAACUGUGAGGUACAUAAUUAUUAUCAAAAUCAGUGCUGACGUCAUUAUUAACGAUGAAGUAAGCAUAGACGUCGCUUCUGAAUGAGGUUGUGUUACUUCAAUUGUUCCAGGACAACUGCACCAUUGACACAACGGCGGCAAUAUCAUUGGGGGUUUGAAUCGUCAACUGAAGAGAGACCAGAGUAUAGGGGGUUGAUGAAGAAGCGUUUCUGCCGGGUGCUGAUUAAUUAUGCCCCUUCGGUACAAUGCAUGAUGUUAUUAGAAUGAAAUGAAGUAACGCGUCAGAUUUUUGUUUGUUUUACGAUCUUUCCUUUAUUUUUCGAAUCUCUAGAGUGAGAAACAUAAAUAGAGAGAGAAAGAGAGAAGAUAAAGAGGGAGGAAGAGACGUUUUCUAAUGCUGAUGUUGUGCUUGGCUGCCCCUACAUUCAAACUGCGUCCCCCAUGUGAAUAGGGUGCGCCUUGUCCUCAUUCCUUGUCAGAAAUUGUUAUUUCGGAAAUAUCAACCGAUAGUUGAUUAUUUGUAUUACUGUUUACUUUGAACAUUGAAAUUAGAAACAUUUCCUUAACUGUGUGUGUUUGUUUAUAAUUUAGCCUGCCCAAUCGGGAUCGAUCGUUCGCAUUCGUUAUCGUUUUUGCAAAUAGCACAAUGAACGUACAUGGUUCAUCGGUUGUUUCGGUCAUAAUGCAUAAUUUUACGCACAUUUACUGGUUCGAUUAAUUUGUUUCUCUGUUUCUACGUUCAGUGGCAGGCAGAAGAUUUGCUUUUCCAUCUUAUUUUCCUUCUCAUAUGCUGUCUACGGUUCCUAUUAAACACGACGAUUAUACACUAUAAAUCCCAAGAGCUGUCCCUAGCCUUUCGUGUAUGCUAAUAUUGAUCUAUGCGUUUCUUAAAUUCAACCCACCUAAUCACGAUGUUAUGUAUCCGGUAUAAUUAUGUAAUUUCCCGUUUUAUGCCCAACAAUUGUCGAUUACCAUAUAUUACUGUUCACAGUUCUUGCUUGUUAUUUUCCUAAGAAUAGUUGUAUUCGUAUCUACCGUACAAGUAAUAACUUAAUAUUGCUUCCAUCGUAGAAAGAAGAAA